CGGCGAGUGAAGCGGCAAAAGCUCAAAUUUGAAAUCUGGUACCUUCGGUGCCCGAGUUGUAAUUUGGAGAGGGCAACUUUGGGGCCGUUCCUUGUCUAUGUUCCUUGGAACAGGACGUCAUAGAGGGUGAGAAUCCCGUGUGGCGAGGAGUGCGGUUCUUUGUAAAGUGCCUUCGAAGAGUCGAGUUGUUUGGGAAUGCAGCUCUAAGUGGGUGGUAAAUUCCAUCUAAAGCUAAAUAUUGGCGAGAGACCGAUAGCGAACAAGUACAGUGAUGGAAAGAUGAAAAGAACUUUGAAAAGAGAGUGAAAAAGUACGUGAAAUUGUUGAAAGGGAAGGGCAUUUGAUCAGACAUGGUGUUUUGUGCCCUCUGCUCCUUGUGGGUAGGGGAAUCUCGCAUUUCACUGGGCCAGCAUCAGUUUUGGUGGCAGGAUAAAUCCAUAGGAAUGUAGCUUGCCUCGGUAAGUAUUAUAGCCUGUGGGAAUACUGCCAGCUGGGACUGAGGACUGCGACGUAAGUCAAGGAU
rnacentral:rRNA from 1 species